UUUUAAAGAAAAAUACUUUCCUUGUGUUUUGACAGGUUUUGUAACUAUUUAUGAAGAAAUAUUUUAGCCAAAUACUAUAUAGUUUACAAUCUUAAGAAAUUAUCAAGUUGGAACCAAGAAAUAGCAAGAAAAUUUACAAUUUUAUCUUCUGGCAAAGGGAUAUCAUUCCUGUAUUAUAGGAUAUGUAAAUGCAAUGCACCCUGUAAAUGUUAAUUUCCAUUAAAUAUAGGAUGGGAACUCCAAUUUCAGAAAAGUUACCAGGUCUUGAGUGCUUUGUAGCCUAAGUUGCAUGUAGUGGACUUAGCUCCAGGGAGUUGUACAAACUUCAUUCCAUAACGGUCCUUUAUCUGAGGAUUUUAAACAGAGUGGCUCUGGGUUAUGUCAUUCCCUAUAUGGCACCUGAAGAGAGAAAAAAACAUACUUCCCAUUCUAAAGUACGUUUUAUAGUUUAGCAUUCCUUUUCCUGUUUUUGCGUAUUUUAAAAGUACUUUUAAGAAGAAAAAACAACAGCAGUUUCUCUUUAAAAAUGAGAUGGCCUGGUACCAUGUGGUGUUGCCUCCUCCAAACACUAAGUUGAAGUCUACGUAGAUUAAACUGGACAAGAGAAACAUGUUCAGUGUGUGAAAUGAAAAAAUACAUAUUUUUGGAAAAUCUUGCUUGUGUUUGUCUAGAAACCAAGGUAUGGUAUAUGCAAUUUGCAGUGUAAUGGGCAGAAUAUUAACAACUCAGAGGUAACAGUGAUCACGUUCAUUCUGUAGGCAUUUUUUAUGUGUGACUACAACAAAUUUUACUAGUUUGUCUUUUCGUGCAUUGAAGUUGAGAAAUUGAUUUUCCCUUUGCAGGUUGUACACAGUUUUGUUUAUCAUUUCUUUAAAAUUGUAGAAUCCAGGACACAAACCAUAGUAGGCAAUACAGUUUUAGGAUAUAAUAUACAAGAGGUCUAUUUAGCCUCUUUUAGAAGUCAGUGGAUUGAAUGCCAGUUUUUGGGUUUUUUUUUUAAAUUUUACAUUUAAGGUGCCUCCUUUUUCUUGACUUUGUCUAUUAACAUUUAUCCAUAUGCCUUUGCAAUAACUAGAUUGUGAAAAGAGAACAAGUGUUGUAACAAUAAUCCAUUGUUUGAGGUGCUUGCAGUUGUUUUAAAAAUUAAAGUGUUUUUGGGUUUUUUUUCCCCCCAGACGCCUUGGUCAUUGGCCUAUAUUUGAAUCCAUAGAAUGAACAAACAUUUGCUAUCCUUUUAGUGUAGUCUACCCAAACUAAAGUAAAUAUCAACAUUCCUGUUGCAGGAAAUGUAGUUCUAUAACAUGAAUUAAGGCUUUAUACAAGGAAGUCACUCAUUGUUUUGUAAGGGUAUAGAAUAUGGAUUCAGAGAAGAUGCUGCAGUAUGGAUUUAAUACCUAGGAUCUCAGUGAUCCCUUUUCAUUUGUUUAAUGAAAAACAUUACUUAUACUUUGAGUAUUACAAUUCUUUUUCAACAGUGUUCACUGUGAGGGAACAAUACAUAUAAUUCUCUUUGGAGUGAGCAUUAUAUCACCUAUUACUGUGAGGUGGAACAUGCUGUUCAUUUAUGAAAUGUGCUUGUACGUUUUUCUAAUGAGGCUAUAGGUUAUCAUACAGGUUCUAUGACAGAUGGUGGCUGUAGACCAGCGAUGCUAUCCAACAUUUCCAUAGGAACCAUAAUAAUUUUUACCAGGGCUAUAGCACACUUGAAUGAAAUUUCUCUAAUGCAAUUUUGGCUGUUUGAAAAUUAACUAGAUUAUGAAUUUUGGAAGGAUCUGUCCCUCAUGAUAAAAUAGUCUACCUAGUUUACAAUGUAAAAAACAAUUAUUCUUGCCCUGGCCAGGUGGCUUGGUUGGUUGGAGCGUUGUCCUGUACACCAAAAGGUUGCAGGUUUGAUUCCUGGUCAGGGCACAUACCUAGGUGUGGGUGUGAUCACCAGUCAGGGCGUGUACAGGAAGUAACAGAUGGAUGUUUCUCUCUCACAUCAAUGUUUCUCUCCCUCCCUCCCUCUCUCUGAAAUCAGUGGAAACACAUUUUCAAGUAAAGAUUUUUUAAAAAUGAAACAACUGCUCUGUAAGGAAUAUACAUUUGUUUUAGGUACAGUGGUUUUUAGCAGAUUCUUGGUGGCUCAAUGAUAAUGUAUACUAUAAGCUAAAGAACUGCCGGUUAUGUAGAACACUAUAGCCAGUGAUUUUAGUUGAACGUUCUAUCUUUUCCUCUAGUCCAUGUAAAGUCUUCAUGGAAAAAUGACAAGCAGUGGAUUAUAGCAGAUUCAGAAGCUGGCUGUCUGGAAAUUAGAACUUCCCAAAGGCAGAGAAAAGGUCAAUAUAAGAGCUUCAAAAAAGCAUACAUUUUUAAAGGUACGAUAGGUCAUCUGCUUACUGACCUUCCACAAGUUCACUGAAAGAAGGGACUGGGCCCUUGGGUUGCAACUGGGGAAUGUGAUUUGAAUGAGAUGGAGGUGAAGACGGAACAUGACUCGGUGAACAUGGGACACAUGGUGAUUCUCCCCCUAGAGAUGAAGCAGAAGCAGACCCAAAGAGAACAUUAGAACUGCAAGAACAAGGGUGCAGAGUGAUUAGCUGACUCCACUUUUUGGCAAAGGAACAAGCUCACUUACCAAUAUCUUUAUCCUUUCGGUGAUCACUGAGAAGUAAAGCUCUCUGGUAACUCCUUUCUCUCACCUGCUCCACUGAAGUUGAGGCAGUCCUUUCAAAUAAAAUCAUAUCAUCAAUUCAAAGAAGCUACUACUAGCCAGACUUUUCUUUGUCACUUAAUAGUCAAAUAUGUCCUCUCAGAGCAAGUCUUUAAUCUUUUGGGAAACCACUUUGGUAUUAAGCUUUGGAAACAGUUUUUUUUCCCCCCUUUCUUUUCCUCACAGCUUUCAAAACAGAUUUUUUUUUAAUCCUCGUCUCUCCGAAGUACUCAAUUGGACUCGAUUCCUUUGUCUUAAGCAGUUUCUUGGUGAAAAUGAGGGGGAGUUGGAGGGUUGUGUAUUAACAUUCAGAAUGUUACUUCAGAUUACCAAAGGUACCAAAUACACCCUUUACAAUUUACCUUGUGUCCGGAUUGUAAGGUUAGCAGGAAGCUCUCUGGGGCAAGGGGACCAAGGAGCAAUGUCAAUGUGGCCUCCUGCCCUUUGCCAAGACCCAUCCUAUUUCCAGCUGCUUAUCCUACUGAAUAGUUGAUGAUUCUUUCCAGGUAACUGGUAAAGAAAUUGGAGGAUGUUGGCUAUGAUAGAGGUUCUUUGGAGAGGAAUAUUUAUGUGAAAACUAUCAAGGAGUGACCACAAUGGACCUUUAACAACACAGGCAAAUAAUAUAGCUGUUUUACAACUCAUUUCCAGAGAGGAUCUUUCAAAAGUUAUGUCCACAAACCUCUAUCGCUUAGCCUUGGGAGAACAACAAAAAUGAAGACAGUUUAUUAACAAAACCUUGUUCUUAUCAGGAUAGCAGACUUCAACACUUUACAAAUAACAAAGACUAUUUUCAUUAUAAGGUAUACUAUUUGUAGUUAUAAAACUACUAAUUAGGUUUUUAAACAGGCUUACCAUUGAACUGGCUCAUUCUUCUCGGUGGCAGAAACUUCCUUAACAGGACAGUUAUUGCUGGUUUCUUCCGAAGAAGCAUUAUAACCUGUAGCUGGUGUUGCUAAAGGUAGGCCAGCAGUGCUUUCUACUGACUCCCCGUUUUCACUCCUGUUGCCACACCCAUCACCAUUGUUGCUCAAGUUUCCACUUGCAUGAAGUGACACACUGACCAGUGGGAAGUGUUCUGUUUUAGAGCCACUUUUCCUCGCUUCACGUUGUCUUUUACGGUAUUCUAAUAAAGAAACCUUAAGAAAGGUAAGGAAAAGCAAAUCUUUUAUUCUUGUUUUAUAUGUCAGAGUCCAUCUAUUCUUUUUUUUCUAAAGAGAAUUACUAUAUUUAUAUUAGGAAAAUUAUGUAAAAUAAUUUGAUUCUGAACAAAUAAUUACCAAAUGCCUACUAUAUACUAGGCAUUGUAUUUAAUGAUUUACAUACAUUAUCUCAUUUAAUCCUCACAACAACCCUAUGAAAUAGGUAUAUUAUCAUCCCCAUUUUACAGAUGAGGAAAUUGAGUAACUCACUCACUCAAGGUCACACAGCUGGUGAGUGUUGGAGCCGGGAUUCGAACCUAGGUCUUACUUGAAAGCCCGUGCUCUUUCCACUAUACUACAUUGCUUCCCACAAAGUUGCCAACUGGAUUCUGUUAUAAAAAUUAAAAGCACACAUCACUAAAAUUCUUUGACUUAUAAAGCAAUAAGCCUAUUAACAAAUAUAAUAAGUGUAGUUUCUCCCAUUCCUCUGAAAUAAGGCAUUCUAAUCGUCUUGCUAUGUAUGCCAAAUGAAUAAUGGUGGUAAAUCAGAUAAUUUAUUAUUUAUAUAAUACUUAUACUUUGCAAAAUACAAAUACUGAGGAAAGGCAUUUCUAUGUAAGGCUACUUAUUCUAUAUAAAAUAAGGGUAGUAACAAAUAUACAACUUUGUUUUUUUGGUUGGGAAGUGGUUAUCAUUUUUAAAAGUUACUCUUUUGGUGAAAAUAAUCAUCUCGAGGUUUUAAUCUCUGAAACCAUGCUUCUUAUAAGAAUUUUCCAUAUGACUAGAGUGUUUGUUUUACUCCUUUGUCAACAUUUUCUAAUUAACUUGGCAUUUACAAAAGAUUUGAAAAUGUACAUAACAAAAAUUUCAACUUGAAUACCUAUAUGAAUGCCUUACACAUAAUACAUACUAUACCUACUAAUUACCCUCAGGAGUAUGAAAAAAACACUAUUAAAAGGUCUAUAAAUCUUUAAAAUUGUAACCUUUUUCUUUUGUGGUGGAUUCUGGGGUGUGCAACUUCCGUCGAUCAAACUGUCAUUAAUAGUCCGUCCGAAACCAGAUACAAGCCCAUCUUCUGAAGUGCAAAACACAGGUGUUUUCAUAAACAUGCCUCUAGUAUCAUCCUGCAUCAGGCAUUUUGACUCACUUAUUCGGAAGCCUCCUCCAACUUCCAACUGAUGCGAGGGUGUCAGGUCCCUCAAGUUAGAGUUUACUGAGAAGUUAACACCUGUUCUGUCAGGACUCUUUACCCAGGAAGAAUAUAUUGCGCCUCGUCCAGAGUGAGUACAUUCCAGUUGGCUGUUAGAGUCAGUCCUGUCAUGUGUAGGUGUUUCCAUGCUUUUAUGCAAGGCAGUUUGCUCGACGGCAUCGAGUCCCAGGUGAAGGUCUGCGGCAGAGUCCUUUUCUCCAGGGCACUGCCUGUUGACUUCAUUCCUACUCCUAGGGCUGGUAUAACCAAUAGUCUUUAUUUCUUGCAGACCCAGUUCAGUUAAAUUAGAAUUUCUAAAAGGCCCCAAUGUUAACAUGGUUGAAGAUCUUUCAUAUCCCUGUUUAAAGAAUAAAAACAAAAUUGCACAACCACAUCUUGAGACUAAUUUUGAAGUCUACUAAUAAUUGUUAAAGCAAAAUAAUACUAGGAAAAAGUCACCAAUUUAACCUUUUUGAAUAGUUGAAUAAUCCCUUACCUCUUGACUGUAAGUGCGUCUCUUAAUUUCUGGAGAACUUUCUGGGGAAGAAAUAUUCUAUAUAAAAACAUAAUUAGAAUUGAAAAUUAAAAUAUGUGACUAAAUCCAUGGUAUUUAUAGAAAUGAAAACUUAAAAUGAGAAAUUAAUUACACAGAGUGUGGUUUUAAACUGUCUUUUUUGUUUUAUUUCCAUUUCUCAUAUAAGGUCAUUUGCUUUAAGGUCAAUCUGAUAUAUAGUCAUUUAGUAUAACUCAUAAAAUUGAAGGUUAUGCUCAUUUAAAUAAAAAGUUCAAAUUA